rnacentral:rRNA from 1 species
CCUACGGGAGGCAGCAGUGGGGAAUAUUGCACAAUGGGCGCAAGCCUGAUGCAGCAACGCCGCGUGCGGGAUGACGGCCUUCGGGUUGUAAACCGCUUUCAGCAGGGACGAAGCUUUUUGUGACGGUACCUGCAGAAGAAGCACCGGCUAACUACGUGCCAGCAGCCGCGGUGAUACGUAGGGUGCGAGCGUUGUCCGGAUUUAUUGGGCGUAAAGGGCUCGUAGGCGGUUGAUCGCGUCGGAAGUGGAAACUUGAUGCUUAACGUUGAGCGUGCUUUCGAUACGGGUUGACUUGAGGAAGGUAGGGGAGAAUGGAAUUCCUGGUGGAGCGGUGGAAUGCGCAGAUAUCAGGAGGAACACCAGUGGCGAAGGCGGUUCUCUGGACCUUUCCUGACGCUGAGGAGCGAAAGCGUGGGGAGCGAACAGGCUUAGAUACCCUGGUAGUCCACGCUGUAAACGGUGGGUACUAGGUGUGGGGUCCAUUCCACGGAUUCUGUGCCGUAGCUAACGCAUUAAGUACCCCGCCUGGGGAGUACGGCCGCAAGGCUAAAACUCAAAGGAAUUGACGGGGCCCCGCACAAGCGGCGGAGCAUGCGGAUUAAUUCGAUGCAACGCGAAGAACCUUACCUGGGUUUGACAUGGAUCGGGAGCUUCCAGAGAUGGUUGUGCCUCUUUUGGGGUCGGUUCACAGGUGGUGCAUGGCUGUCGUCAGCUCGUGUCGUGAGAUGUUGGGUUAAGUCCCGCAACGAGCGCAACCC